rnacentral:lncRNA from 10 species
GUUACUGUGGCAGCGGGCAUCCCAGGGUGCGUGCGGUGCAGGGUGUGCAAGAAAAUGCGAGGUUGGAGGAGGAGCUUUAAAUGGAUUUGGACUCCUCAGGAGGAUUUGCUAAUGGUCUGAACAAGUGAAUAGAGCACUGCAAAAGAUUUGUAUACUAUUCCCGUUUUGAUCUUUUCUGCCAAUCUCUACCAAGAACUUGAUUAAAGAUCUGAGACGCUGUCCCUGGCCUACCCAAGUUUUAAUCUUCUCUUAAAUGUCAACUCAACAACAACACAUAUGGCAAGGGUAAAAACCCUCAAUGUAGAGUUUUUACAAAUCAACAAGAAAAUAAAGAUGAACGUUCGAACUGAAAAAUAUGUGCAACAGAAACAAAACCCAAAAUGGCCAGUAAAUGUGAUAGGAGGUUCAACAGGAAAAUGGAUAUCCAUACCCUACUAGUGGAAUUUUUAAUUGGUACAACAUUGCUGGAAGGCAGUUUAAUAGCAUUUGUGAAAAGCCUUUUAAAAAAAUGUAUACAUUUGACUUAGCAAUUUUACUUCUGGGAAAGAAUGGAACAAAUUUGCAAAUACACAAACACAAGCGCACAUAUCAUGGGAAUAAU